UACAGAGGGUGCGAGCGUUAAUCGGAAUUACUGGGCGUAAAGCGCGCGUAGGCGGCUUUUCAAGUCGAUUGUGAAAUCCCCGGGCUUAACCUGGGAACUGCAUUCGGGACUGCAUUGCUAGAGUAUGGGAGAGGGAAGUGGAAUUUCAGGUGUAGCGGUGAAAUGCGUAGAUAUCUGAAGGAACAUCAGUGGCGAAAGCGACUUCCUGGACCAAUACUGACGCUCAUGUGCGAAAGCGUGGGGAGCAAACAGG
rnacentral:rRNA from 1 species